rnacentral:rRNA from 1 species
AUUGAACGCUGGCGGCAGGCCUAACACAUGCAAGUCGAGCGGCAGCGCGGGGCAACCUGGCGGCGAGCGGCGAACGGGUGAGUAAUACAUGGGAAUCUGCCUGGUAGUGGGGGAUAACUCUGGGAAACUAGAGGUAAUACCGCAUACGUCCUACGGGAGAAAGCGGGGGAUCUUCGGACCUCGCGCUAUCAGAGGAGCCCAUGUCCGAUUAGCUAGUUGGUGGGGUAAAGGCUCACCAAGGCGACGAUCGGUAACUGGUCUGAGAGGAUGGUCAGUCACACUGGAACUGAGACACGGUCCAGACUCCUACGGGAGGCAGCAGUGGGGAAUAUUGGACAAUGGGGGCAACCCUGAUCCAGCCAUGCCGCGUGUGUGAAGAAGGCC